AUCUAUUUGGCAGAUCAAUGCACUAAGUUUAAGCCUUAGAAACAAGAAUUAAAGUCAUUCUAAAGAACC
rnacentral:tRNA from 1 species